AAAACCUCCACCUAGUGCUCCAAGCUCAUCAACAAAAGCCCACAUCCGCUAAGCAUUCACAUCAUGAAAGUAACUCUUCUGGCAAUAAGCACACGAUGAUAAAGAGGGGCAAAGAGAGAGGACGCUAAGCUCGUAAAGUUAAUCCGACUCCACGAACCAGUACCUCUUUGACACUUAACCCAAUGCCUUCACAAUUCAGAUAAUAGAAAUAACAGACCUCAACUAUACUUUCACCUGUAAAAUAUGAGAAACAUCAAAAAGGUGUCAAUUAGAGCUAACCGUGUCAUGUUGGAAGCAAGCUAAAUGGAAUUUGCAGCUAAAGCAAUCAGAACUCGCCCCCUUCUUAGAUUAUUCAAAACCCAAAAUUUUAGAACAAAAUAUAAAUUGCUUGAGGGCAGUCAAAAUGUGAAAACUUUAUUAGUUUCCCCCCACCCCACAAACACGGAGACAAUUCGGUCCCUUCAGCAUCGAUAAAGGGCGAUUCUUUCCUCUGACAGUAAGAAAAUUGCACAAACCCAAAACUAUUCAUCGUAAGUGGGAUAAUUUCUCAAACAAUUUAUAACAAUCUUGAGAAAAUCGUCAAGCAACCAAUUCAGCAAACCCAGGAAGAAAAUCGAACACACACACGUUUAUUCAUCAUAAAUGGGAAAAUUCCUCGCAAAAAUUACAACAAUUCUUUAGAAAAUCAUCAACCAAUUAAUUCAGCAAACCCAUUUCAGAUUACCUCAAAACUGGAAUCGAAAAGAAAUCGAUUCUCAUCGAAGGGUCUGCUCAGAAAAACCGAUUAAUCAGUCGAUCAAAAGGGACCGACCAAUUUUAGAACUUUACUUUGUCAAACGAUCGGAAGCUUCGAACAGUGUCACAAGCAAGCAAGCAAGCAAAAUCGAAAGAGAAAAAUCGAGAAACUGAGGUAGGAUUAAGAAAAAUAAGAACCUUGAGAGAGAGAGAGAGAGAGAGAGAGAGAGAGAGAGAGUAUUCGAUUCGUGAAGGUGGAAGAAAUCCGAUGUCGGCUCUGUAGUGGGACUGAAGGGAUUUUUCGGCGAGAAAAUAGUCACGCGAAGACGGAAUUAACAUUCUGGUGGUAGAUUCCAAGUUCUAACAUGUUUGGAGGUAAAAGAUAAAAAGAAG
rnacentral:lncRNA from 1 species